rfam:Gossypium arboreum cultivar AKA8401 contig_3902_7, whole genome shotgun sequence.
AACCCAUGGUGAGGGCACCUUUGAAAUAGAUCCUUGUAUCUCUCCCAUGCAUCAUAAAGUCUUUCUAAGUCCAUCUGCACAAAAGAAGAGAUAUCAUUACAUAACUU